GAUGAACGCUAGCGGGAGGCUUAACACAUGCAAGUCGAGGGGCAGCAUAGGGUAGCAAUACUCUGAUGGCGACCGGCAAACGGGUGAGUAACGCGUAUGCAACCUACCCUGUACAGGGGGAUAACCCGGAGAAAUUCGGACUAAUAUCCCGUAAUAAUAUCCGGAGGCAUCUUUGGAUAUUUAAAGUUCCGACGGUACGGGAUGGGCAUGCGUAACAUUAACUGGUUGGUAAGGUAACGGCUUACCAAGGCUAUGAUGUUUAGGGGUCCUGAGAGGGUGGUCCCCCACACUGGUACUGAGACACGGACCAGACUCCUACGGGAGGCAGCAGUGAGGAAUAUUGGUCAAUGGGCGCAAGCCUGAACCAGCCAUCCCGCGUGCAGGAAGACGGCCCUAUGGGUUGUAAACUGCUUUUCCAGGGAGAGAAACUUACGCACGUGUUGCGUGACUGACGGUACCCUGGGAAUAAGCAUCGGCUAACUCCGUGCCAGCAGCCGCGGUAAACCGAGAGUA
rnacentral:rRNA from 1 species